UUCCGAUUCCUAUUUCAAAAA
rnacentral:piRNA from 1 species